rnacentral:rRNA from 1 species
CGUGUAGGCGGCCCGGUAAGUCCGUUGUGAAAGUCGAGGGCUCAACCCUCGAAUGCCGGCGGAUACUGCCGGGCUAGAAUCCGGAAGAGGCGAGUGGAAUUCCUGGUGUAGCGGUGAAAUGCGCAGAUAUCAGGAGGAACACCAAUGGCGAAGGCAGCUCGCUGGGACGGUAUUGACGCUGAGACGCGAAAGCGUGGGAGCAGACA